AGCGGACAUGUGUAGUGACUGAGUGGCGGACGGGUGAGUAACGCGUGAGUAACCUGCCUUAUACAGGGGGAUAACAGUUGGAAACGACUGCUAAUACCGCAUAAGCAUACAGUAUCGCAUGGUACAGUAUGAAAAACUCCGGUGGUAUAAGAUGGACUCGCGUCUGAUUAGCUAGUUGGUGAGGUAAUGGCUCACCAAGGCGACGAUCAGUAGCCGACCUGAGAGGGUGACCGGCCACAUUGGGACUGAGACACGGCCCAAACUCCUACGGGAGGCAGCAGUGGGGAAUAUUGCACAAUGGGGGAAACCCUGAUGCAGCGACGCCGCGUGAAGGAUGAAGUAUUUCGGUAUGUAAACUUCUAUCAGCAGGGAAGAAAAUGACGGUACCUGACUAAGAAGCCCCGGCUAAUUACGUGCCAGCAGCCGCGGUAACACGUAAGGGGCAAGCGUUGUUCGGAAUUAUUGGGCGUAAAGGGCGCGUAGGCGGUUUCAUAAGCCUGGCGUGAAAGCCCGCAGCUUAACUGCGGGACUGCGUUGGGAACUGUGAGACUAGAGUCAUGGAGGGGGAGUUGGAAUUCCUAGUGUAGGGGUGAAAUCUGUAGAUAUUAGGAAGAACACCGGUGGCGAAGGCGAACUUCUAGCCAAUGACUGACGCUGAGGCGCGAAAGUGUGGGGAGCAAACAGGAUUAGAUACCCUGGUAGUCCACACCAUAAACGAUGUACACUAGGUGUUGGUCCGAGCGGAUCAGUGCCGAAGCUAACGUGAUAAGUGUACCGCCUGGGGAGUAUGCCCGCAAGGGUGAAAC
rnacentral:rRNA from 1 species